UGAACGCUGGCGGCGUGCUUAACACAUGCAAGUCGAACGAGAAAGGGAUUGCUUGCAAUCCUGAGUAGAGUGGCGCACGGGUGAGUAACACGUAGAUAAUCUACCCUCAAGCCUGGGAUAACUAUUCGAAAGGAUAGCUAAUACCGGAUAAAGUAUAUUAUCAUAAGAUAAUUUAUGAAAGAUUGCCUCUAUUUAUAAGCAAUUGUUUGGGGAUGAGUUUGCGGACCAUUAGUUAGUUGGUAGGGUAAAGGCCUACCAAGACAGCGAUGGUUAGCUGGUCUGAGAGGAUGAUCAGUCACACUGGAACUGGAACACGGUCCAGACUCCUACGGGAGGCAGCAGUGAGGAAUUUUGCGCAAUGGGGGCAACCCUGACGCAGCAACGCCGCGUGAGUGAAGAAGGCCUUUGGGUCGUAAAGCUCUGUCAACAAGGAAGAAGUUAUGAAUAUCCAAUAGGUAUUCAUAUUGACGGUACUUGUGGAGGAAGCGCCGGCUAACUCC
rnacentral:rRNA from 1 species